rnacentral:tRNA from 1 species
GUUCUUGUAGUUAAAGCGCUAUGACGGCAGCUUUUCAGGUUGCAGAUCCCGGAUCGAGGCCGGGCGAGAAUU